rnacentral:lncRNA from 1 species
AAAAACAUUUUGCUAAACCUUCUCAAUUGAUUUCUUUGAUUACAUAUGUAAUAACUUUUUAAUGGGCUUUAAAGCAUAAUUCUGAGGAGGAAUCAACAGACCUCUCCAGACUGCCAGAGGGGUCCAUAGGUCAGACAGUGUUAAGCUCCCCCAGGCCUCCUGCAGGGUUCCCCACAGGCAGUGGCCUGACUUGUCCAGAAACAGAACACUCUGCUAGACAAAACACGUAGUAGGAAAUGGAAUGGGGAGAAGAAGGAAAAAACAAGGGAAGAAAGAAAAGAAAUGGGCCAGGGAGGGUGCAGGAGGCAGAUUUCACCAAAACCCAAAGAAAUCCACUCACGGCUGUGGAAAACUCAACCUUUAUUAUUACCUGCCUAGUGCAGGGGAUUAAAAUAGCAUUGAGCUAGAUCCAUAUAUUAGUGUAAAAAUCUGUGUCUCUCCCCCCAAAAAAAUGUACAAACCCCAAGUGAUUAUAGAAAAACCAGUGUGGCAGCUAUGAUAGAGAUUUCCAACCCCAGGGCCACAGGCUGUUGCUCUGUCUUUCCCCCUAAUCCCGAUACUUAUUCCACAUAAACAUACAGGCUUAGAGAAGUUCUAGCUACAACACGGCAGGUGGGAAGUGGGGAGGCUGGGGGGUGGGGGGCAGGGAUCACCCCCAGGUCCAGUGUUUUCAGAGGAUGAAGUAGAGAGAGGCCAAAGCUGAGGGCAGUUCCAGGAGGAGGCACAAGGGAACCCCUUUCUCCCAUUCUUGUCCUCCUCACUCCCCAAAUUCUCAGCCAGUGGGGUCCAGUGUGUGACGGAGACAGAGAGGCUGGGGGGGGGGGGGGGGUGGCCACAGCCUUUUCUCCAGGAACCAGUGUUGUCCAGUGGGGCCCAGGUGCUCCUGUGGGCCAGGUCCAGUGUCUGCCCUAUAUUUUCCCCUCCCCUCCCCCAAGGGAUGGCUAGAGGAGGUCAGAGAGGAUCCCAUCCACAGGGCCAGCUGGGUGGGCGGCAGGGGCUUCUAGGAAAGAAGCAGGAAGUGGGCAUGAGAGCAUGUCCGGGGAAGGGAGGGCGUCGGCUCCCUGGCAGGCCCAGCCCACCUGCAGCCACACUGCCUCUCCCAGAGGUGAAGGGCGGUCGGGAGGGGAAUGGAGUGGAGGUGCUGUUAGGUCCUCUUGUCUAGUGCCGCUGGCCUCCCCUGAAUCCUCCCUGCGGGAG